CAUUAUUGAAUAAACUUGAUGGGUUGUUGCUGGCUUCUAGGAGCAUGUGCACGCCUGUCAUCUUUAUCCAUCCACCUGUGCACCUUCUGUAGUCUUGGAGGUAAUGAGCGUGAAACUCGUCGGGGUAAACCAAUUUAUUGGUCCUCGGAAAGAGGCCUGCCACACGAAAGUAUGGCUGACCUUGGUACUCGCGCAAGUUUCUUCGAGUCUAUGUCUUUCAUAUACCACGUAAAAUGUCUUAGAAUGAUUUUAUUAGGACUUAGUGCCUAUAAAACACAAUACAACUUUCAGCAACGGAUCUCUUGGCUCUCGCAUCGAUGAAGAACGCAGCGAAAUGCGAUAAGUAAUGUGAAUUGCAGAAUUCAGUGAAUCAUCGAAUCUUUGAACGCACCUUGCGCUCCUUGGUAUUCCGAGGAGCAUGCCUGUUUGAGUGUCAUUUAAUUCUCAACCCCUCUAGCUUUUGUAGCUGGUUUGGGGCUUGGAUGUGGGGGAUUGCGGGCCUCUGUAGAGGUCGGCUCCUCUGAAAUGUAUUAGCGGAACCGUUUGCGGGUCUGUCACUGGUGUGAUAAUUAUCUUACCAACGACAACUGCUCUCUGGCAAUUCUGCUUCUAACUGUCCUCAUUGUGGACAAUAUUAUAUUAAUGCUUGACCUCAAAUCAGGUAGGACUACCCGCUGAACUUAAGCAUAUCAAUAAGCGGAGGAAAAGAAACUAACAAGGAUUCCCCUAGUAACUGCGAGUGAAGCGGGAAAAGCUCAAAUUUAAAAUCUGGCGGUCUUUGGCCGUCCGAGUUGUAAUCUAGAGAAGCGUCACCCGCGCUGGACCGUGUACAAGUCUCCUGGAAUGGAGCGUCAUAGAGGGUGAGAAUCCCGUCUUUGACACGGACUACCAGGGCUUUGUGGUGCGCUCUCAAAGAGUCGAGUUGUUUGGGAAUGCAGCUCUAAAUGGGUGGUAAAUUCCAUCUAAAGCUAAAUAUUGGCGAGAGACCGAUAGCGAACAAGUACCGUGAGGGAAAGAUGAAAAGAACUUUGGAAAGAGAGUUAAACAGUACGUGAAAUUGCUGAAAGGGAAACGCUUGAAGUCAGUCGCGUUGGCCAGGGAUCAGCCUCGCUUUUGCGUGGUGUACUUUCUGGUUGACGGGUCAGCAUCAAUUUUGACCGCUGGAAAAAGGCUUGGGGAAUGUGGCAUCUUCGGAUGUGUUAUAGCCCCUUGUCGUAUACAGCGGUUGGGAUUGAGGAACUCAGCACGCCGCAAGGCCGGGUUUCGACCACGUUCGUGCUUAGGAUGCUGGCAUAAUGGCUUUAAUCGACCCGUCUUGAAACACGGACCAAGGAGUCUAACAUGCCUGCGAGUGUUUGGGUGGAAAACCCGAGCGCGUAAUGAAAGUGAAAGUUGAGAUCCCUGUCGCGGGGAGCAUCGACGCCCGGACCAGAACUUUUGGGACGGAUCUGCGGUAGAGCAUGUAUGUUGGGACCCGAAAGAUGGUGAACUAUGCCUGAAUAGGGUGAAGCCAGAGGAAACUCUGGUGGAGGCUCGUAGCGAUUCUGACGUGCAAAUCGAUCGUCAAAUUUGGGUAUAGGGGCGAAAGACUAAUCGAACCAUC
rnacentral:rRNA from 1 species